GUUUUUCCUCCUCCAGGAGACAUUCCUCCGCGGAUCAGACCAUGCUCCUUCCACAUUGAAAGCCUGUGCUCACACUUUGAAUAUGUUGACUGAAAGACCUUCAUGAGCCGGACACGCUCCUUGGUGUUACACUUGCAGGAGUUGCCGAUGGAGGCCUGCAGUACUCUCGGAGUUGUUGGCAGCUUUAAAGGACUUGACCAAUUGGAUCUAACAGACAUCUACAGAAAAUUCCACCCAGCAAUUACAGAAUAUACAUUGUUCUCAACUGCAUGUGGAGCAUAUUCUAAGAUAAAAUAGUCAUAAAUCAAGCCUCAAUAAAUUCGAAAAAAUGAAAUCAUAUCAUACCAAGCACAAUCUUGAACCACAGUGCAAUAAGAAAAGAAAUCAAUGCCAGGCCAGGCAUGGUGGCUCAUGCCUGUAAUCCCAGUGCUUUGGGAGGCUGAGAUGGGUGGAUCACUAGGUCAAGAGAUCAAGACCAUCCUGGCCAACAUGGUGAAAUCCCAUCUCUACUAAAAAUACAAAAACUAGCUGGGCAUGGUGGCACAUGCCUAUAAUCCCAGCUAUUCAGGAAACUGAGGCCAGAGAAUCACUUGAACCUGGGAGGCGG
rnacentral:lncRNA from 10 species